rnacentral:rRNA from 1 species
GACGAACGCUGGCGGCGUGCUUAACACAUGCAAGUCGAACGGAAAGGCCCUGCUUUUGUGGGGUGCUCGAGUGGCGAACGGGUGAGUAACACGUGAGUAACCUGCCCUUGACUUUGGGAUAACUUCAGGAAACUGGGGCUAAUACCGGAUAGGAGCUCCUGCUGCAUGGUGGGGGUUGGAAAGUUUCGGCGGUUGGGGAUGGACUCGGGGCUUAUCAGCUUGUUGUUGGGGUAGUGGCUUACCAAGGCUUUGACGGGUAGCCGGCCUGAGAGGGUGACCGGCCACAUUGGGACUGAGAUACGGCCCAGACUCCUACGGGAGGCAGCAGUGGGGAAUAUUGCACAAUGGGCGGAAGCCUGAUGCAGCAACGCCGCGUGCGGGAUGACGGCCUUCGGGUUGUAAACCGCUUUCGCCUGUGACGAAGCGUGAGUGACGGUAAUGGGUAAAGAAGCACCGGCUAACUACGUG